GCUUGUCUCAAAGAUUAAGCCAUGCAUGUCUCAGUACAAGCCAAAUUAAGGUGAAACCGCGAAAGGCUCAUUAAAUCAGUUAUGGUUCCUUAGAUCGUACCCACAAUUACUUGGAUAACUGUGGUAAUUCUAGAGCUAAUACAUGCAAACAGAGCUCCGACCGGAGACGGAAGGAGUGCUUUUAUUAGAUCAAAACCAAUCGGUGGCGGGCUCGUCCAUCGUACAACUUGGUGACUCUGAAUAACUUUACGCUGAUCGCACGGUCAUCGCACCGGCGACGCAUCUUUCAAAUGUCUGCCUUAUCAACUGUCGAUGGUAGGUUCUGCGCCUACCAUGGUUGUAACGGGUAACGGGGAAUCAGGGUUCGAUUCCGGAGAGGGAGCCUGAGAAACGGCUACCACAUCCAAGGAAGGCAGCAGGCGCGCAAAUUACCCACUCCCGGCACGGGGAGGUAGUGACGAAAAAUAACGAUACGGGACUCAUCCGAGGCCCCGUAAUCGGAAUGAGUACACUCUAAACCCUUUAACGAGGAUCAAUUGGAGGGCCAGUCUGGUGCCAGCAGCCGCGGUA
rnacentral:rRNA from 1 species